GCGGACGCCCCAACCCCGUGGCCCCCUCGAACCCCACGUGCUUCCUAAAAACACUUAGAACCGUUCCAAUACCUUUAGUACCACGCUCGGCUCAGGCCCAUCCUCAGCUCAGAGCGCGGUAGCACUGUCCUCCCGCCCAGGAGGUUUAAGGCCUGGCUAAACUCCGCCCCCCACCGCCCUGGCCAAUCAGGAGCCACGUCCUCCGGCGCGCUCCUUUCCCGCCCCGCCUCCCGUCUCCAUGGGAACGAUCUGAGCGUCUACUCCGCGUCCUGGGGCGUCGGUUUCGGUCCCGCCCGGCUGCGGCCGUUGUUUGCUGGGACAGUCCUUGGGCCGGUCUCCGUCCCUGUCCAGAGGCUCCGUACGUGAGGCGGACUCUCGGGAGCACCGAGCCGGGCGCGGAUAAGGGCGAGGACAGCUGUUGCAGGAACGGGGGCAGAAAAGGAGGACCAGGGGCCGAGAAGCCGCUCUGGCUACGAAAUCUCAGACACCGUUGUAAAUGGGUGCUUCACAGCCGCCCGCCCCACGUUAAAACUGAAGAAGAGGUGCAAGGAGGCGGAAGCAGCUUGGGCCUCGGGACCGAGGGCAUUUGCAGUUCACACCCAGUUAGUACGUGAGGACUGCAGUGAGUGUGGAAAUUUCAAGUCUCGCCCAGUCUUCUAUUCUUCCCCCCCAGCUCAGCCUUCUCGACCCUCCACCCUUCCCCAAAAAAGGAGCACAAAGGAGCAAGCAGGGGUCACGCCUUUCCUCACAGUCUGACCCGGGUGAGUAGGGGUCUUGUCUCAUCUCCCUCGACUUCUCCAUGGACUGUGGGAGUAGCUGAAGUGGCUGUGGGGACGGAGGGAGCAGACUGAAUAGAAACUGUUCCUCACGUGCCUGAGAAGCUUUCGAGCUUCCUCUUCAGCAGACCCUGCCUCCUGCCCAGGGCCCUUUCUAACAUUUUUCCCACUUACUCAGCCACUUAGGUCUGCUAUAUAGUCCAUACUGCUCUUGGUGACCAGAGAUAAAUAAGCAUGAGAACGUCUUUCCUGGAAGCUGCUGUGUGACACAGCAGGUGAAAGAUCUGACAUCGCCACAGGUGUGGCACCUGCAGCUCCGGUUCCAUCCCUGGCCCAGGAACGUCCACAUGCUGUGGACGUGGCCAAAGGAAAGAAGGCCUUUCCUUCGCCUCGGGGAAAUCAACCACAUGAGGUUAAUAAGAAUUUCUAAAAUUAUCACACAUUAAACAGUUCCAAAAUUAAGUGUCACUUUUAAGCAAAAGGCAGGAACAGGCAUUCAGAUUUGAGUAAAACCAUUGUGAACUGGCGGAUGUCAUUCCCGACAGGAAGCCCAUCAUUUAGUCGCAGGCAGAACAUGAGGAACAAACGAGGAAACCAGGCUAGUUGCAGGAGAGACUAAGUGUGAAUGGGUGAGGAAAGGCCGCGUUGCGGAGGCUCUGGUUUCUUACUCUGUGUACCACUCAGAUUCCGGGGCACACCAACCAGAGGCAGGCAUUGCUGACAUCCAGAUGGAUUUACUUCGUCUUUUAUCUAAUAAUAUACAUACGUACUCACUAAUCCAUACAAAUACUAGCAUGUAUGCACACCAGUACACAUAUGUACAAAUAUGCACAUUUAC
rnacentral:lncRNA from 1 species